GAUGAACGCUGGCGGCGUGCCUAACCCAUGCAAGUCGAACGGACUUUGAUGCAACCUAGUGAUUCAAAGUUAGUGGCGGACGGGUGAGUAACGCGUGGGUAACCUGCCUCACACUGGGGGAUAACAGUUAGAAAUGCCUGCUAACACCGCAUAAGUGCACAGUACCGCAUGGUACAGUGUAAAAAACUCCGGUGGUGUGAGAUGGAACCGCGUCUGAUUAGCUAGUUGGCGGGGUAACGGCCCACCAAGGCGACGAUCAGUAGCCGGCCUGAGAGGGUGAACUGCGACGUUGGGACUGAGACACGGCCCAAACUCCUACGGGAGGCAGCAGUGGGGAAUAUUGCACAAUGGGGGAAACCCUGAUGCAGCAACGCCGCGUGAGUGAAGAAGUAUUUCGGUAUGUAAAGCUCUAUCAGCAGGGAAGAAAAUGACGGUACCUGACUAAGAAGCUCCGGCUAAAUACGUGCCAGCCGCCGCCGUAACAC
rnacentral:rRNA from 1 species